ACCUAGAUUGCUGUCAAAGAGCAUUUGUCAAAUUUUCGCAAUUCGCAAUUGGUUUGGCGCCACUCCUAAUACAUUUUCUAUGGAUAAAGAAAUAUUUAAUAUGUGGUUUAAUAUUUAUUUAUACAAUGCAAAUUUUGCAUUCCAAAUUGAAAACGAAGGUGUACAGCAAAUAGCGUAGAAACAUGGUUUAGAAUGUUCCAUUUGAGUUUGUGAAAGUAAUUCGAUGCGAAAUAUGGCUAUUAAUAUUACAAAAAAUGUCAUAAUUUUGAAUAUAAAGUGACUACUAAAUAUGCAGUUGAAUGAUAUAAAUGCGAUUAUCAAUUUUUAUAACUUUUUUGAUAUCAGCUGAAUUGUAAUAUGAAAGGACAAUGGUUUAACAUGACUACAUUCAUAAACUUCUAAAUAUAUUUGUCAUAAAAUAUUUGUUAUCAUUGCUGUGGAACUUAGUCGUGCACCAGUCGUUGAUGAAACUAAACAACACUUACAAUACCUUGUUCUAAGAGCAGUCAAGUUUACAUCAUGGAACCACUUACCAAUACAAAGUAACGCUCUGAGCUUUAGUUCUACUUUCAUAGUUUAUCUGACAGAAGUGCUAAUAAACUUGUUAGCAGCAUUGCUUAAUGUAAUGUUACCCAGCUGAAAAGGAGUGAAGGAAAAGAAUGAAGCAUCUACAAGAAAGUAGCCAGUGAAUUAAAAACCAAUAAAUAAUGUUUAAAAUAAUAAAGAGAGGAUAUCUGCUCUGCCACAGAAGAAUGGCGUUGGAGUGAAAGAAGGGGGAGACCUGCACACACUUGGAGAAGACAAAUUGAUAUGGAAAUAUCACACAUGCGAAAAAGCUGGGGAGAGUUGAAGCUGUACUAUCCAACAAUCGUACUGAGUGGAAGAUCUUUGUUGCGACCCUAUGCUUCUCCUAGAAGUUAAAGGAUUCUAUAUAUGUAUAUAUAUCUUCUCUGCUAUACAUACUAGAUUUAAAAGAUUCUUUGUUUCUCAAAACCAAACAGAAACUUUUAAUUUUAUUGAUGUAUUGCUGGAUCAAUAAAGUAAUAAGAAAACAGAAGAAAAAGAAAUGAGCUGAUAGGAAGAAAAUAUAAGAAUAUUAUAUAUAGCAAGAAUAAAUUGAUGCUAAAGCGGCCAAUAAGGUAAAGAAAAAGUGGAAAACAAAAUAGACAAAAGUAGUGAAUAAGAAACUAAAAUAAGCAAAGCAAAAGAUGAAUAGAAAGACGAUUAACAAAAUUACGAAACAAUAACAAUCAAAGAUAUUGUAAAUAUGAACAAAUCUAGAAAUAAGAAGAAAAAGCUGGAGGUGAAUACCAAGAUGAAACCGUUAAUAAAUGAGAAUAAAAAUAAAAUUAAAAUUGGAACAGA